AUUGAACGCUGGCGGCAGGCUUAACACAUGCAAGUCGAACGAGUGGCGGACGGGUGAGUAAUGCUUGGGAAUCUGGCUUAUGGAGGGGGAUAACUACGGGAAGCUGUAGCUAAUACCGCGUACCCUAGUGUGCGCCCAAGUGGGAUUAGGUAGUGGGUGGGGUAAAGGCUCACCAGGGCGACGAUCCCUAGCUGGUCUGAGAGGAUGACCAGCCACACUGGGACUGAGACACGGCCCAGACUCCUACGGGAGGCAGCAGUGGGGAAUAUUGCGCAAUGGGGGCAACCUGACGCAGCCAUGCCGCGUGAAUGAAGAAGGCCUUCGGGUUGUAAAGUACUUUCGGUAGCGAGGCGUUAACUACAGAAGAAGCACCGGCUAACUCCGUGCCAGCAGCCGCGGUAAUUC
rnacentral:rRNA from 1 species